CUGAAAGGGAGGUGUGAUGUAUAGCAACUGAUUUGAUGUUGGGCUCAAGAGGAGGCCCAAAGGUGGCUAGUUGUACCCAGUCAAGGAGGUUUAUGAGCUGAAAUGUAGGGUGCAAGGGUAACAUCCAUGGGCCAACAAGCCCAAGAGGCCCACGUUGUAUUCCAAAAGAGAUGGGAAGUCUUCACCGUGGAGUCACACAAGCUCUUUCUUUCUUAAACCUCUCUCUCCCUAAAGCGAAAUCCGAUUAUUCCUCCGCCGCACCGAAAAUAUCCUCCGGCGGCGGCGGAGUCUGAAAUGACCCCAACCUGCCAUGAAAACCAUCGUCUCUACCUCCUAUCUCCCAAUCCAUAGUUUCCUUUCUCUAAUUCUAUCCACAGAACUCAAAUCAAAGACCAAAAUGUACGAACCCUAAAUCUUCAAAUCCAAAAUAAAUGCAAGUGAUACCUAAUAUGGAACUUAAAACUUAGGGUUAUAUAUCCUUUAUGCUAAUGAUAUCCUCUAGUAACGAGAAUUGGACAAAACAAGAAAGUUUGAAGGGGAUGAACCAAACUUCGAAGCGGUGAGUUGCUUCGAUCAAGAUUGCAAGACUUGAAGGAGAAGAUAAUAAAAAAACCAGAGAUGCUUCGAAUGAGGCACGAGUAGGUAUGGAUUGAGGGUUUAAUCAAGGAUUGAACCUUUGAUGAAAAGAAACAAAAACCAUGAAGAACAAUGAAGAACCUGACUAUGGGUGACUUGAGGAGAAAGUUGUAACUAGAAUUAAGGCUAGUAGAGUUGAUUUUGGUCAAUUGGUUGACCAAAAAGUCAACAAUUGACCAAAGUCAACUGUAUGUCCAAGUUGCAUUAUUUUUUGUGUAGGUUUAGAAUUUGUGGAAUGAUGUAAUGAUUUGUAAAUGGAUGAUGGAUGACUUUGUAAUGAAAAAUGAACUUAUGUAUUUUGACUUUUAAUGAA